AUCCAGCUGACGAGUCCCGAAUAGGACGAAACGUUGGUACUGGAU
rnacentral:hammerhead_ribozyme from 1 species